GCAGUCGAGCGGACAGAUGGGAGCUUGCUCCCUGAUGUUAGCGGCGGACGGGUGAGUAACACGUGGGUAACCUGCCUGUAAGACUGGGAUAACUCCGGGAAACCGGGGCUAAUACCGGAUGGUUGUUUGAACCGCAUGGUUCAAACAUAAAAGGUGGCUUCGGCUACCACUUACAGAUGGACCCGCGGCGCAUUAGCUAGUUGGUGAGGUAACGGCUCACCAAGGCAACGAUGCGUAGCCGACCUGAGAGGGUGAUCGGCCACACUGGGACUGAGACACGGCCCAGACUCCUACGGGAGGCAGCAGUAGGGAAUCUUCCGCAAUGGACGAAAGUCUGACGGAGCAACGCCGCGUGAGUGAUGAAGGUUUUCGGAUCGUAAAGCUCUGUUGUUAGGGAAGAACAAGUACCGUUCGAAUAGGGCGGUACCUUGACGGUACCUAACCAGAAAGCCACGGCUAACUACGUGCCAGCAGCCGCGGUAAUACGUAGGUGGCAAGCGUUGUCCGGAAUUAUUGGGCGUAAAGGGCUCGCAGGCGGUUUCUUAAGUCUGAUGUGAAAGCCCCCGGCUCAACCGGGGAGGGUCAUUGGAAACUGGGGAACUUGAGUGCAGAAGAGGAGAGUGGAAUUCCACGUGUAGCGGUGAAAUGCGUAGAGAUGUGGAGGAACACCAGUGGCGAAGGCGACUCUCUGGUCUGUAACUGACGCUGAGGAGCGAAAGCGUGGGGAGCGAACAGGAUUAGAUACCCUGGUAGUCCACGCCGUAAACGAUGAGUGCUAAGUGUUAGGGGGUUUC
rnacentral:rRNA from 1 species